GGCUCAGAACGAACGCCGGCGGCGUGGAUAAGACAUGCAAGUCGAACGCUGACAUUCAGGUAGCAAUAUUUGGAUGUCGGAGUGGCGCAAGGGUGCGUAACACGUGGGUAAUUUGCCGUGAAGUUUGGGAUAACUUGCUGAAAGGCGAGCUAAUACCGGAUGUGAAUUCUUAAAGGCAUCUUUAGGAAUUCAAAGUUGGGGACCGCAAGGCCUGACGCUUUACGAUAAGCCCGCGGCCUAUCAGCUAGUUGGUGAGGUAACGGCUCACCAAGGCUAAGACGGGUAGCUGGUCUGAGAGGACGACCAGCCUCACUGGAACUGAGACACGGUCCAGACACCUACGGGUGGCAGCAGUCGAGAAUUUUUCUCAAUGGGCGAAAGCCUGAAGGAGCGACGCCGCGUGGGGGAUGAAUGGCUUCGGCCCGUAAACCCCUGUCAUUUGUGAACAAAUUGCUUCACCUAACACGUGAAGCAUUGAUUGUAACGGAAGAGGAAGGGACGGCUAACUCUGUGCCAGCAGCCGCGGUAAUACAGAGGUCCCAAGCGUUGUUCGGAUUCACUGGGCGUAAAGGGUGCGUAGGCGGUUUGAUAAGUCUGAUGUGAAAUCCCGCAGCUUAACUGCGGAACUGCAUUGGAAACUAUUUGACUAGAGGAAUGGAGGGGAGACUGGAAUACUUGGUGUAGCAGUGAAAUGCGUAGAUAUCAAGUGGAACACCAGUGGCGAAGGCGAGUCUCUGGACAUUUCCUGACGCUGAGGCACGAAAGCCAGGGGAGCAAACGGGAUUAGAUACCCCGGUAGUCCUGGCCCUAAACGGUGCGCGUUUGCUGUGAGCGGAAUCGACCCCGCUCGUGGCGAAGUUAACACAUUAAACGCGCCGCCUGGGAAGUACGGCCGC
rnacentral:rRNA from 1 species